UACGUAGGGGGCAAGCGUUGUCCGGAUUUAUUGGGCGUAAAGAGCGUGUAGGCGGCUAGAUAGGUCCGUUGUGAAAACUCGAGGCUCAACCUCGAGACGUCGAUGGAAACCAUCUGGCUAGAGUCCGGAAGAGGAAAGUGGAAUUCCUGGUGUAGCGGUGAAAUGCGCAGAUAUCAGGAAGAACACCAAUGGCGAAAGCAGCUUUCUGGGACGGUACUGACGCUGAGACGCGAAAGCGUGGGGAGCGAACAGG
rnacentral:rRNA from 1 species